GACGAACGCUGGAGGCGUGCUUAACACAUGCAAGUCGAACGAUGAAAUGGAGCUUGCUCCAUGGAUUAGUGGCGAACGGGUGAGUAACACGUGAAUAACCUGCCCUUAAUUUUGGAAUAACCCAGGGAAACCUGGGCUAAUACCGGAUAAGUAAACCUGUGGCAUCACAUGGUUUUGGAAAGUCUUUCGAUUAAGGAUGGAUUCGCGGCCUAUCAGCUUGUUGGUGGGGUAAUGGCUCACCAAGGCGACGACGGGUAGCCGGCCUGAGAGGGUGAACGGCCACACUGGGACUGAGACACGGCCCAGACUCCUACGGGAGGCGGCAGUGGGGAAUAUUGCGCAAUGGACGAAAGUCUGACGCAGCGACGCCUCGUGAGGGACGAAGGUCUUCGGAUUGUAAACCUCUUUCAGCAGGGACGAAGCGAAAGUGACGGUACCUGCAGAAGAAGCACCGGCUAACUAUGUGCCAGCAGCCGCCGUAA
rnacentral:rRNA from 1 species